rnacentral:rRNA from 1 species
GAUGAACGCUGGCGGCGUGCCUAAUACAUGCAAGUCGAGCGAACGGACGAGAAGCUUGCUUCUCUGAUGUUAGCGGCGGACGGGUGAGUAACACGUGGAUAACCUACCUAUAAGGCUGGGAUAACUUCGGGAAACCGGAGCUAAUACCGGAUAAUAUUUUGAACCGCAUGGUUCAAAAGUGAAAGACGGUCUUGCUGUCACUUAUAGAUGGAUCCGCGCUGCAUUAGCUAGUUGGUAAGGUAACGGCUUACCAAGGCAACGAUGCAUAGCCGACCUGAGAGGGUGAUCGGCCACACUGGAACUGAGACACGGUCCAGACUCCUGCGGGAGGCAGCAGUAGGGAAUCUUCCGCAAUGGGCGAAAGCCUGACGGAGCAACGCCGCGUGAGUGAUGAAGGUCUUCGGAUCGUAAAACUCUGUUAUUAGGGAAGAACAUAUGUGUAAGUAACUGUGCACAUCUUGACGGUACCUAAUCAGAAAGCCACGGCUAACUACGUG